CGGCGGUAGCAGCAGCAGCGGGAGGCGGCGGCGGAGGAAGAAGCCGUUUCGCCGGCGCUGACAUCGGGCUCCGAGACAGGUGGGAUAUAGCAGCUGUCUCAGGCAAUGGAAGCCCCCAAGGCAGCAUUCCUGCAGGAGCCCCACCUGCCCUGCCGCUACCUGUGGAGAAGCAAGCACCAAUUUUCUGCAAGAUGUUUGUGAGAUCUUUUGAGAUCUCAGCAGAACUUGCUGCCGCUGUACAACCUAGCUAAGGGAUGCUUCAACGGGGGUUGCAGCAGGGCGGGCGGCACUUCCCAUUUUGCCUCAAGUGUCAAAACAGGACACACUGACCCUGCUUAGAGACACAUGUGACUGAGCAGCCUCAAAAUCUUUUAUAUAAUUGUUGCUGCUGGAUCUGGAAGAAUUUGUAAGCAGAAUUAAAAUAAGCUGCUAGUACUGUUCCACAAGAGUUCAUGUAAUGCUAUAUAUAGAUAGGAAAACAUUUCUAUAUUGGAAUCCUGUAAUGCUAAUUGUUUGCGCACAAAUAUACAGCCAAGAAUUUACACAGAUGAAUGAAAAGAAAUUGAAACAUAGUAUUCUGUAACAUGAUAGAAGAGUAAAACUGUAAUUUUUAGUCAAAGGAAGGAAAUAAAUGCAAUUCAGCUCUUCCUACCUGCAUGUCAAUUACCUGGA